rnacentral:rRNA from 5 species
CACAUCCAAGGAAGGCAGCAGGCACGCAAAUUACCCAAUCCCAGCUCUGGGAGGUAGUGACGAAAAAUAACAAUGCGGGACUCUUCCGAGUCUGCGUAAUUGGAAUGAGCACACUUUAAAUCCUUUAGCAACAACCAAUUGGAGGGCAAGUCUGGUGCCAGCAGCCGCGGUAAUUCCAGCUCCAAUAGCGUAUAUUAAAGUUGUUGCGGUUAAAAAGCUCGUAGUUCGAUUUGAGUUGCGGACUGGUGUGGGAGGUCACCGCCCGGUGCUUGCCCGCCAGGUUCCGAACAGCUUCCGUGAGUGGAAGCCAAGCCGGUUCUGCCGGGGUGCUCUUUACCGAGUGUCCCGCGCGGCCGGCCAGUUCACCUUGAAUAAAUGAGAGUGCUCAAAGCAGGCUACUCUGGAAUACAAUGCCCGAAUGUUAGCUGCAUGGAAUGAUGGAAGAUGAUCUCGGUUGCAUUUUGUUGGUGGUGGCAGCCAGAGGUAAUGAUAAAGAGGGACUGUCGGGGGCAUCCGUACUACGACGCGAGAGGUGAAAUUCAGUGACCGUCGUAGGACGAACAACAGCGAAAGCAUUUGCCAAGAAUGUCUUCGUUGAUCAAGAACGAAAGUUAGAGGAUCGAAGGCGAUCAGAUACCGCCCUAGUUCUAACCCUAAACGAUGCUGACUAGCAAUUCGCCGUCGUUAUUCCCAUGACGUGGCGAGACGCCCCCGGGAAACCUCAAGUCUUUGAGUUCCGGGGGUAGUAUGGUUGCAAAAGUGAAACUUAAAGGAAUUGACGGAAGGGCACCACCAGGAGUGGAGCCUGCGGCUUAAUUUGACUCAACACGGGGAAGCUCACCAGGCCCGGACACCAGAAGGAUUGACAGAUUAAGAGCUCUUUCUCGAUUUGGUGGGUGGUGGUGCAUGGCCGUUCUUAGUUGGUGGAGUGAUUUGUCUGGUUAAUUC